UUGGAGGGCAAGUCUGGUGCCAGCAGCCGCGGUAAUUCCAGCUCCAAUAGCGUAUAUUAAAGUUGCUGCAGUUAAAAAGCUCGUAGUUGAAUUUCGGGAUCAAUAUGUUGGUCGUGCCUCGGUACGUACUAGCUUAUUGGUUUCUCCCUUCUGACGAACCAUGAUGUCAUUUAUUUGGUGUUAUGGGAAAUCAGGACUGUUACUUUGAAAAAAUUAGAGUGUUUAAAGCAGGCUCACGCUUGAAUACAUUAGCAUGGAAUAAUGAAAUAGGACGUUUGAUUCUAUUUUGUUGGUUUCUAGGAUCGACGUAAUGAUUAAUAGGGAUAGUUGGGGGCAUUAGUAUUCAAUUGUCAGAGGUGAAAUUCUUGGAUUUAUUGAAGACUAACUACUGCGAAAGCAUUUGCCAAGGAUGUUUUCAUUAAUCAAGAACGAAAGUUAGGGGAUCGAAGACGAUCAGAUACCGUCGUAGUCUUAACCAUAAACUAUGCCGACUAGGGAUCGGAUGAUGUUAAUUUUUUAAUGACUCAUUCGGCGCCUUACGGGAAAC
rnacentral:rRNA from 1 species